rnacentral:rRNA from 1 species
GACGAACGCUGGCGGCGUGCCUAAUACAUGCAAGUAGAACGCACAGGAUGCACCGUAGUUUACUACACCGUAUUCUGUGAGUUGCAAACGGGUGAGUAACGCGUAGGUAACCUGCCUGGUAGCGGGGGAUAACUAUUGGAAACGAUAGCUAAUACCGCAUAAGAACAUUUACUGCAUGGUAGAUGUUUAAAAGGUGCAAAUGCAUCACUACCAGAUGGACCUGCGUUGUAUUAGCUAGUAGGUGAGGUAACGGCUCACCUAGGCGACGAUACAUAGCCGACCUGAGAGGGUGAUCGGCCACACUGGGACUGAGACACGGCCCAGACUCCUACGGGAGGCAGCAGUAGGGAAUCUUCGGCAAGGGGGGGAACCCUGACCGAGCAACGCCGCGUGAGUGAAGAAGGUUUUCGGAUCGUAAAGCUCUGUUGUUAAGGAAGAACGAGUGUGAGAAUGGAAAGUUCAUACUGUGACGGUACUUAACCAGAAAGGGACGGCUACUAC